rnacentral:ncRNA from 1 species
AUGGUAUGGAUGAAGGAAUUGAUGUAGCAAAGUUCUUGGGCCUACGUACAGAAACUCGAUAAGACGAUUAGGUGGGUAAGGUUGCAAGACGAACCGAAGCCCGAAAGGUAAAUGUAAACCGAAGUUGUAAAUCAAGAGGUUGAGGAAUGAAAGAUUA